AAAGAUCGUAAUGGGGUGGUCAUAUAGUCAGACGUAUAGAUAUACUAUAUAAGCUGCAGUGAUGUGAUAGCGACAGGGGGUUGAUGGAGAAAAAUUUAUUACUCAGGAGGAAAUACGAAGGCUAAAUAAAGUAGAAAUUAGAGGAGCACAUUUUUUAGUCUUUUUACCUGGAACGGUAUAUAUUGUGAUCAAAAAUCGCCUUGCGAACUUUUAUGAAAUUGUUAAGAUUCUUGAUAUUUUUUGUAAAAAUAAAAAUGACAUUUUAUUCACAUUCCCCUUAUUUUGAAACCAUAAGGAGUUUAUCAAAUUAUUUCCAAAAAGAAGACUGCUCACAAAAUAUUUUACAAAAUUUUUACCUGGGAGAACAGUCCGAACUAAAAAUUUCGUGUUAUUAAUUCAGGUACAUAAUAUUCAAUUAGGUUCUUUAGAUCAUAAAAAAUAUUUCUGGUCUUUCAUAAAUAAUAAGGAUCGCUACAAUUCCCUUCCAGUUUUUAUGCAUCAUGAAAAGAGAGAUCUUCAGAUAUCGUCAAUAUUUUCAAGGAUAAUUUUAUCACUCUACCUCCAACAAUGAUUAUAGCGGACCUCCAAUAAUUUUUAAUAUGGACCUGAGUGGUAUUAAUAUUAGUGCGGCUUUAGUGGGAAAAAAUUAAAUGCUCUAAAAUCUAAUGGUAAUGUGGGUCCAGAUGGCAUUCUGGAAAUUUUUUUGAAGCAGGUCAUCCGCUGAGUAUACCAAUAUAGUUCAAUGGCAUCUGGUAUUUUCCUCGGUCUUACGACUAGCCAUUUAGCGCUGCUUGCUGACGAUUUAAAACUAUUUAACGACGUGAAUUGUGGGAGUGAUUGUAUUCUUCUUCAAGAGGUCCUGGCUGCAUUUGCGAACUGGUGCCGAUUAAAUAAAUAAGACAUUAAGGAUGAAGAUUGUAGACCUAUCCGCAAGCAUACGGCUAGGGUAGUCCGACACCGACGAAGUAUCGAUACCACACAAAUAUCGGAUCAAAAGUACCCAUGCUUUGGCUUAUUUUAUCGUCAGUAAACUACCGUUGUCAGCCUUAA